UGGGUGGGUGUGUAUAAAUCUGUCCUAUUUAACUGCUGAUGCAAAAAGAAGAUAUUAAUUCUUACCAUGACUCGAGUAGUAGUAGUAGUAGUAGUAGUAGUAGUAGUAGUAGUAGUAGUAGUUCAUCAUUUCAACACACAGACGCCAAGAGGAGGGCGGGACGGGCGGGACGGGGAUGGUGACAGCGGCUACGUCCCUUCUCACCCGGAGGACUCAGCACGUGUGACGCCUGGCGGAGAGACAGCCCCCUCACUGGUGCCCUCAGGAGACCAAGGGCAGGUGGACGUCAUGAGAGUGUCGACAGCCAAGGAACCUCCACCUAAAGACACUGCAAAUAAGGGAACAUUCAAUCCUGACGACACUUCGAGAACGAUACUCAGAAAGUUUAUGGAGAAGAAGAAACGAUGAAAUGCCGCCAUCGCCACCACCACCACCACCACCACCACCAACAACAACAACAACAACAACAACAACAACAACAACA